GCACGUGGAUUCAGUCUACUGCAUUCUCAUCGUAGCCGCGGACCAAACGCCACCUUGCUCUACUUAGCCAUGCACUAUUUCUAUCGUCCGGUCGAGUUUGGAUCGCGGGUCAUCUAGCAUAGCUCAUAUUUAAUCUGUGCCUAGUGUCGGAUCGAGUCGGUUUGGUCCAUACUUUUUUGUUGUGUCGGUGUUUAGUCUCGACCAAGCACUACAGGAUUACCCACGUAGUGUUUUUGGAGGACAGCGACGUUGAUCGCAACUCGAUGGUACGUGCAGGUGCACGUCGGAACACAAGAGAAUUAUACAGGUUCGGGUCGCCUAAAUGUGUAAUAGCCUACAUCAUGUGUGAUGUUGAGUAUUGAGUUUGCUUGAGAUUAUUACAGAUGAUUCGCGGGUGGCGUUCGAUGAGAUCUCAUAUUAGUCUACGGGGUGGGUGUUAUGGUGGUGAAAGAGAGGGAUUCAUUUUGUUGGGAUACCUCCCUAGCCUUAUAUAGCCGACUAGGGAGAUAUCCUCUUACAGAUCGUGGAAACUUAUCUACUUCUACUAUUCUUGUGCGCCGGCUCUUCCGGCAAUUGCUUCCCUCCGAGUUUAGCGCGCGAAAGAUCUGCUCUCCGGUUGCACGCGGGGCACGUUAUUCGGAAUUCUAUUGGUCCCUCUGCAACAUAUGCGCGCGGAUAACGUCUUUGCGUCGUAUUUCUUCGGAAUCCUUCUGGCUGAGCGUGUUAUCCUUCCGAUAGUACAUGUUUCUCCUGAAGGAGGGUCGGUCCAAUAGCACAUCUUGGUGUACUACUUAUGGGUGGGGGUCUGUUUAAGUGGCCCAUGGAUGUAUUCAUGUGACGAUGACCCAUGUAUAUCUAUUUCCCAUAUGUUGGAUGUGUCAGGUCGAGGUUUUUUGAGGUGGGUCGGGUUUUAGAUAAAAAAUCAUGGUAUGUGUCUAGCCCGUGGAUUGUUACGGGUCAAAAACUAUGGCAUGUACUUGCUUAUUGUAUUGGUCGGAUCAGGUUUUUUGAGCAAAUUAGGUCGUAUUGGUUGGGUCAGACAGCCUAUAAGACUGUCUCUAGCGGAUAGUGUAAAAUAGGGGGACAUAGAAUUGUAGAUGACAAUGAUUGAUAGUGUUUGUAGAAUGAAGUUUAAAAUAGAGGAUGAUGCAGGGGAUCUGAGAGAUAGCAUAAUCUGUUCUAAAAUAAGAAAUGUGAAGAUAGAGUGAAAUUUAAAAUAAAUGAUAGUUACCGGAGAUGACACAAUGAAUGUGCUGCAGAUGACCUACCCAAAGCGAAGCAAAUGACAGGCUAUUGACGACGGGCGGAGUCACGGACACUGGACUACAGUCUGGCACUACCUGCGCCCGUGGUUUGUGUUGUGCUCUGCUCCUGCUCCUGCUCGUGGGGCGGUGGAGUGGAGGUGCAGAAGCAGCUGUGCUGGCGGCGGUGAUUCGCAAAUCGCAGCGCCAGGCUACCGUACAGCGGCCACCGACGGGUGACGAGGCUCUGGCCGCUGGUAUUGGACGACACGGCGGCAUGGGCCCCCUCACUGACGCCACCGAAACAGCUAGCCGCGCCAACGGACCACACGACAGCCUCGCGCCGUCUUGUCACAUGUCCUACUAUAUCUUUGUAUCGUGCGUCCAACCCAAAAAAAAACAAGGUAUAGUGCUAUGCAUUUACACUUAAUAUAGUUUGCAAACAUCGCACUAAUUGUAUUUGUAUUGUGAGAGAAAUUCUAUCUAUAACCA
rnacentral:lncRNA from 1 species